rnacentral:rRNA from 1 species
GACGAACGCUGGCGGCGUGCCUAACACAUGCAAGUCGAACGAUGUAGCAGGAGCUUGCUCCUGUGGAAUAGUGGCGAACGGGUGAGUAACACGUGAGCAAUCUGCUCUUGACUCUGGGAUAACUGCGGGAAACUGUAGCUAAUACCGGAUAUGAACACUUAGGCCAUCUCAGGGGUUGGAACGAAUUUCGGUCAAGGAUGAGCUCGCGGCCUAUCGGCUAGUUGGUGAGGUAAAGGCACACCAAGGUGACGACGGGUAGCCGGCAUGGGAGGGUGACCGGCCACACUGGAACUGAGACACGGUCCAGACUCCUACGGGAGGCAGCAGUGGGGAAUAUUGCACAAUGGGCGAAAGCCUGAUGCAGCAACGCCGCGUGAGGAAUGAAGGCCUUCGGGUUGUAAACCUCUUUUAGCAGGGAAGAAGCGAAAGUGACGGUACCUGCAGAAAAAGCACCGGCUAACUACGUGCCAGCAGCCGCCGUAA